UACGUAGGGGGCAAGCGUUGUCCGGAAUCAUUGGGCGUAAAGCGCGUGUAGGCGGCUCGAUAAGUCUGCUGUGAAAGUCCAGGGCUCAACCCUGGGAUGCCGGUGGAUACUGUCGAGCUCGAGUCCGGAAGAGGCGAGUGGAAUUCCUGGUGUAGCGGUGAAAUGCGCAGAUAUCGGGAAGAACACCCGUGGCGAAGGCGGCUCUCUGGGACGGUACUGACGCUGAGACGCGAAAGCGUGGGGAGCGAACAGG
rnacentral:rRNA from 1 species